AGGAUUGGAUGGGGGGAACCCUGAUCAGCCUGCCGCGUGUGUGAAGAAGGCCUUUUGGUUGUAAAGCACUUUAAGCGAGGAGGAGGCUACUUAGAUUAAUACUCUAGGAUAGUGGACGUUACUCGCAGAAUAAGCACCGGCUAACUCUGUGCCAGCAGCCGCGGUAAUACAGAGGGUGCGAGCGUUAAUCGGAUUUACUGGGCGUAAAGCGUGCGUAGGUGGUCUUUUAAGUCGGAUGUGAAAUCCCUGAGCUUAACUUAGGAAUUGCAUUCGAUACUGGGAGACUAGAGUAUGGGAGAGGAUGGUAGAAUUCCAGGUGUAGCGGUGAAAUGCGUAGAGAUCUGGAGGAAUACCGAUGGCGAAGGCAGCCAUCUGGCCUAAUACUGACACUGAGGCACGAAAGCAUGGG
rnacentral:rRNA from 1 species